rfam:Oryza sativa Japonica Group DNA, chromosome 8, cultivar: Nipponbare, complete sequence.
UUUAAGUGCAACCAUGAGUUUCCGUGCCAAAUUUUGAUCGUCCGUCUUAUUUGAAAUUUUUUUGUAAUUAGUAUUUUUUUUGUUGUUAUGAGAUGAUAAAACAUAAAUAGUACUUUAUGUGUGACUUAUGUUUUCAAUUUUUUUCAAAUAAGACGGACUUAUGUGUGACUUAUGUUUUCAAAUUUUUUCAAAUAAGACGGACGAUCAAAGUUGAGUACGGAAAAGUAUGGCUGCACUUAAA